rnacentral:rRNA from 1 species
GAUGAACGCUGGCGGCGUGCCUAAUACAUGCAAGUCGAGCGAACGGACGAGAAGCUUGCUUCUCUGAUGUUAGCGGAGGACGGGUGAGUAACACGUGGAUAACCUACCUAUAAGACUGGGAUAACUUCGGGAAACCGGAGCUAAUACCGGAUAAUAUUUUGAACCGCAGGGUUCAAAGGUGAGAGACGGUGUUGCUGGCACGUAUCGCUGGAUCCGCGCUGCAUUGGCUAGUUGGUAAGGUAACGGCUUACCAAGGCAAGUAUGCAUAGCCGACCUGUGAGGGGGGUCGGCCACACUGGAGCGUAGACACCGUCCUGACUCCUACGGUAGGCAGCAGUAGGGAAUCGUCGGCAGUGGGCGAAAGCCUGGCGGAGCAAGGGCGCGUGAGUGACGAAGGCCUUCGGAGCGUAAAACCCUGUUUUUAGUGAUGAACCGAUUUGGAAGGAACCGAGCCCUGCUUGACGGUACCUAAUCAGAAAGCCACGGCUAACUACGUG